rnacentral:tRNA from 1 species
UGAAUAGUAAAAUGAAGCUUCUAACUUCAAAGAUAGCGAUAGCUACUAUUUAU